UCCUGGUUAACUCUGUUGGUAGAGCACUCCACUGUAAAUGGAUUGGUUCCUGGUUCGAUUUCAGGACCAGGCG
rfam:Ixodes scapularis strain Wikel colony gcontig_1108379229634, whole genome shotgun sequence.